AAGAGGAAGGGACGGCUAACUUCGUGCCAGCAGCCGCGGUAAUACGAAGGUCCCGAGCGUUAUUCGGAAUCACUGGGCGUAAAGAGUACGUAGGCGGUUUGGUAAGUCAGGUGUGAAAUCCCGGAGCUCAACUCCGGAACUGCAUCCGAUACUGCUAGACUUGAGUAAUGGAGGGGCAGGUGGAAUUCUCGGUGUAGCAGUGAAAUGCGUGGAUAUCGAGAGGAAGACCAAUGGCGAAGGCAGCCUGCUGGACAUUUACUGACGCUGAGGUACGAAGGCCAGGGUAGCGAAAGGGAUUAGAUACCCCUGUAGUCCUGGCAGUAAACGGUGCGCGCUUGGUGUAGGAGGACUCGACCCCUUCUGUGCCGGAGCUAACGCGUUAAGCGCGCCGCCUGGGGAGUACGGUCGCAAGACUAAAACUCAAAGAAAUUGACGGGGACCCGCACAAGCGGUGGAGUAUGUGGCUUAAUUCGAUGCAACGCGAAGAACCUUACCUAGGCUUGACAUGCUUGUCGUACCUUCCCGAAAAGGAAGGGUCACUUCGGGUGGACAAUGCACAGGUGCUGCAUGGCCGUCGUCAGCUCGUGUCGUGAGAUGUUUGGUUAAGUCCAGCAACGAGCGCAACCCCUGUGAAUAGUUGCCAGCACGUAAUGGUGGGGACUCUAUUCAGACUGCCCAGGUCAACUGGGAGGAAGGUGGGGAUGACGUCAGGUCAGUAUGGCCCUUACGCCUAGGGCUGCACACGUACUACAAUGCCCAGUACAAUGAGAACCGAGACCGCGAGGUGGAGGAAAUCUGCAAAACUGGGCCCAGUUCGGAUUGGAGGCUGCAACUCGCCUCCAUGAAGUUGGAAUCGCUAGUAAUGGCGCAUCAGCUACGGCGCCGUGAAUACGUUCCCGGGCCUUGUACACACCGCCCGUCACAUCAUGGAAGUCGUUUGUAGCCGAAGUGCGUGAGCUAACCGUAAGGAAGCAGCGCCCUACGCUAUGAGCGGUAACUGGGAUGAAGUCGUAACAAGGUAGCCGUAGGGGAACCUGCGGCUG
rnacentral:rRNA from 1 species